UACAGAGGUCUCAAGCGUUGUUCGGAUUCAUUGGGCGUAAAGGGUGCGUAGGUGGCGGGGUAAGUCAGGUGUGAAAUUUCGGAGCUUAACUCCGAAACUGCAUUUGAUACUGCCUUGCUUGAGGACUGGAGAGGAGACUGGAAUUCAUGGUGUAGCAGUGAAAUGCGUAGAGAUCAUGAGGAAGACCAGUGGUGAAGGCGGGUCUCUGGACAGUUCCUGACACUGAGGCACGAAGGCUAGGGGAGCAAACGGG
rnacentral:rRNA from 1 species